rnacentral:lncRNA from 1 species
GAAAGUGUUUCGCAUGCCUGCUGUCCUCCCUGGGCGCCUCGUCUCGGUGCGUCUUUUUAGGUUUUGACCUUUAAGAGAGCCAAUUCUGGAAAACAACCAAACUUCUUUGAUUGAAUACUCACAUGCGUUGGAACAUGAUUAGGAGAUUAAGGUUUAAUAAUAAAAUGAAGACCAUAGUAAAACAGCCUCCUUCUUAGCCCAGCAAUUCUUAUUUUUCAAUCAGACUUGAAAGAAGAGAUUGAAGGCAUAGUGGCACUUUGAUAUUUCCAAUGGAGCAGGAUACAAGAAUGAAGAAAUGGCACAGGAUAUACCAGGAAAAGAUUGCCACAUAGCUAGUCCGGUUUGAAUGAAAAGAUAAGUAUGAAAGUUAAAUCAACUGUUCACUCAGCAUAGUACUCAAUAUUAAGAACAGUUGUCUAUGUUCAAAAGUUUGUAGUGAGUGCAAAUUAAGUAUUAGCUAGAAAAUUUGAAAUGUAAAUCCAUCAGAGAUAAUAGAUUUAAAUUGUUCCUGGGCUGGGGAUUUAGCUCAGUGGUUCCACUACCUGCCUACAAGUGCAAGGUCCCGAGUUCGAUCCCUGGUACCAAAAAAAAAGAAAUAGUAAAAAAAUAAAUUGUUCUUUAAAGUAGAGAUAAAUACAAAGGGGAUUAAUAGGUAUUUUAACCUCCAAAAGUAGCCUUAUUGAAAAAUCAAAGUUUGAGUAGGCAUCGAUACAGAUUAGGGGAGAAAAGAACUAGAAAAUAAUUCGUUGUAAGCAUCUCCAUUCUUCAGGGUGCCUUGAAGAGUCAUGCACUCAGAGAGGAUAAUCACUGCAUUGAAAAUGAUUAUAAUUUAUUUGUUCUACUUGCUACUUACCUGGUGACCAGAGGAGUAUCAUGCUUGGUCAGUCUUGCUAUCCAUUUACAACUAUUUUAUUAUGCUAAGAGCUCUUUCUUAAUAUAUAAUCACCAUACUUACAACGCACUAACAUAAUAAUCCCUUGCUAUAGUCAUACCAGUUUCUUUUGAACUCCUGAUUGUUUCAGAAAAAUGAACCUUCCAUUUGGAUUUAUUUUUCUUUUCUACACAAUCUCACUAAGUUUCCCAGGCUGGUCGCAAACUUGGGAUCUUCCUGAAUAGCUGGAAUUACAGCCAUGUGCCAUACAUAUUGCAUUCGGUUUUCAUGAUUCUUAAAAGAGAACUUUUAAAUGGAGUGAUAGUGUUUCCAUUGGAGAGAGAUGAAAUUGGAUAGAUUCUGAUUAUAUAGUCCUUGAUACUUUGGCAAAAAAAAAAAUAUAUAUAUAUAUAGGCUGUACUUAGAAAAUCAGGUACAGAAUGUGAAAAUGUGAAUUUUAGGAAGUUUCUAUGACUAAACAUAGAGGCCAGCUGAAAAUGCAUUGUAGCUUAUAAGGUACUUAGGCCUAAUUUAAAAGUAUAAAAUUAACAGUGUCAAACCAGUAGUUGAACUGAAAUCUCAAAACAGAUCAAUUGGUUUUGCUGGCUAAUUGAAUACAAGAAAUGAUUAGCACAGGACAAAAACUGAAUGUGAAGAGAGGAUGACAGUGGGCAAGUUUUCCUAGUUAGGACACAAAAGGGAACAAAAGAAAGUACCUGUGAUAAAAAUGUGAUGGUAAAUAGCAUAUUAUGUUCUUAUCAAAUGGCACUUCUUGACUGAACAGUAUGUUCAUAAUUUAGUCAUGUCUGAGAAGUAAAAAGUCAUCAAAACUGUUUUUAAGCCGGGGAUUUAGGUCAGUGGUUCCGCCGCCUGCCUCGCAAGCACAAGGUCCCGAGUUCAAUCCCCUGUACAAAAAAAAAAAAAAUGUUUUUAAAUAUAUGUUUGUCUUCUAAGUAGUUUUAACUUUGUAUAUAAG